CGCAAUAAUCAUUCGGAAAUUAAUGCACCGGAUCCCAUUAGAAUUCCGCAUUUAAGCGUGCUUGGGCGAGAGCAGUACUAGGAUGGGUGACCUCCUGGGAGGUCCUCGUGUUGCACCCC
rnacentral:rRNA from 1 species